GUGGGGAAUCUUAGACAAUGGGCGCAAGCCUGAUCUAGCCAUGCCGCGUGAGCGAUGAAGGCCUUAGGGUUGUAAAGCUCUUUCGCUGGGGAAGAUAAUGACUGUACCCAGUAAAGAAGCCCCGGCUAACUCCGUGCCAGCAGCCGCGGUAAUACGGAGGGGGCUAGCGUUGUUCGGAAUUACUGGGCGUAAAGCGCGCGUAGGCGGAUUGGAAAGUUGGGGGUGAAAUCCCGGGGCUCAACCUCGGAACUGCCUUCAAAACUCCCAGUCUUGAGUUCGAGAGAGGUGAGUGGAAUUCCGAGUGUAGAGGUGAAAUUCGUAGAUAUUCGGAGGAACACCAGUGGCGAAGGCGGCUCACUGGCUCGAUACUGACGCUGAGGUGCGAAAGCGUGGGGAGCAAACAGGAUUAGAUACCCGUGUAGUCC
rnacentral:rRNA from 1 species